AACUCUGGUCUUCCCUCAAAGGUAUAAAUCUUUCGCCUUUACUAAAGAUUCAUGUGGGGUGAGGGACAAAUGAAAGAGUGGACAUGAAUUUUUUAGGGCCUCUUUAUGGGGUCC